rnacentral:rRNA from 1 species
AUUGAACGCUGGCGGCAGGCCUAACACAUGCAAGUCGAACGGUAACAGGAAGAAGCUUGCUUCUUUGCUGACGAGUGGCGGACGGGUGAGUAAUGUCUGGGAAACUGCCUGAUGGAGGGGGAUAACUACUGGAAACGGUAGCUAAUACCGCAUAACGUCGCAAGACCAAAGAGGGGGACCUUCGGGCCUCUUGCCAUCGGAUGUGCCCAGAUGGGAUUAGCUAGUAGGUGGGGUAACGGCUCACCUAGGCGACGAUCCCUAGCUGGUCUGAGAGGAUGACCAGCCACACUGGAACUGAGACACGGUCCAGACUCCUACGGGAGGCAGCAGUGGGGAAUAUUGCACAAUGGGCGCAAGCCUGAUGCAGCCAUGCCGCGUGUAUGAAGAAGGCCUUCGGGUUGUAAAGUAUUUUCAGCGGGGAGGAAGGGAGUAAAGUUAAUACCUUUGCUCAUUGACGUUACCCGCAGAAGAAGCACCGGCUAACUCCGUG